AUAUUUGGUGAGUCUAUUGAACACAUCUAAUCUCAUCUGAUCUCAGAAGCUAAGCAGGAUUGAGCCUGGUUAGUACUUGGAGCCCACCUGAAAAUAUUGGGUACUGUAGGCG
rnacentral:rRNA from 1 species